UAGCUAGUUGGUAGGGUAAAGGCCUACCAAGGCGACGAUCGGUAGCUGGUCUGAGAGGAUGGCCAGCCACACUGGAACUGAGACACGGUCCAGACUCCUACGGGAGGCAGCAGUGGGGAAUAUUGGACAAUGGGGGGAACCCUGAUCCAGCAAUGCCGCGUGUGUGAAGAAGGCCUGAGGGUUGUAAAGCACUUUCAGUGGGGAGGAGGUGUGUUUGAUUAAGAGUCGAGCACAUGGACGUUACCCACAGAAGAAGCACCGGCUAACUCCGUGCCAGCAGCCGCGGUAAUACGGAGGGUGCGAGCGUUAAUCGGAAUUACUGGGCGUAAAGGUGCGUAGGUGGUUUAUUAAGUUAUCUGUAAAAUCCCCGGGCUUAACCUGGGAAGGCCAGAUAAGACUGAUAGACUCGAGUAUGGGAGAGGGUAGUGGAAUUUCCGGUGUAGCGGUGAAAUGCGUAGAGAUCGGAAGGAACACCAGUGGCGAAGGCGGCUACCUGGCCUAAUACUGACACUGAGGCACGAAAGCGUGGGGAGCAAACAGGAUUAGAUACCCUGGUAGUCCACGCUGUAAACGAUGUCAACUAGCCGUUUUUUACAUAAAAGUAAGGAGUGGCGC
rnacentral:rRNA from 1 species